rnacentral:rRNA from 1 species
AUUGAACGCUGGCGGCAUGCCUAACACAUGCAAGUCGAACGAUGAUUCAGAGCUUGCUCUUAUGAUUAGUGGCGGACGGGUGAGUAAUGUAUAGGGAUCUGCCUGUUAGUGGGGGACAACAGCCGGAAACGGCUGCUAAUACCGCAUACGCUCUACGGAGGAAAGUGGGGGACCCUCGGGCCUCACGCUAACAGAUGAACCUAUAUUGGAUUAGCUAGUUGGUAGGGUAAAGGCCUACCAAGGCGACGAUCCAUAGCUGGUUUGAGAGAAUGAUCAGCCACACUGGGACUGAGACACGGCCCAGACUCCUACGGGAGGCAGCAGUGGGGAAUAUUGGACAAUGGGCGCAAGCCUGAUCCAGCAAUGCCGCGUGUGUGAAGAAGGCCUUCGGGUUGUAAAGCACUUUAAGUUGGGAGGAAAAGCUGAGGGUUAAUAGCCUUUAGUGUUGACGUUACCAACAGAAUAAGCACCGGCUAACUCCGUG